AUUGAACGCUGGCGGCAGGCCUAACACAUGCAAGUCGAGCGGAGCGGCGGACGGGUGAGUAAUGCCUAGGAAUCUGCCUCGUAGUGGGGGAUCACGUCCGGAAACGGGCGCUAAUACCGCAUACUAUCAGAUGAGCCUAGGUCGGAUUAGCUAGUUGGUGGGGUAAAGGCCUACCAAGGCGACGAUCCGUCACCGGUCUGGGAGGAUGAGCAGUCACACUGGAACGGAGACACGGUCUAGACCCCUACGGGGGUCAGCAGUGGGGAAUAUUGGACAAUGGGCGACAGCCUGAUCCAGCCAUGCCGCGUGUGUGAAGAAGGUUUUCGGAGUGGAAAGCACUUUAAGUUGGGAGGCGUUACCAACAGAAUAAGCACCGGCUAACUUCGUGCCAGCAGCCGCGGUAAUAC
rnacentral:rRNA from 1 species